GGAGCAGGACAUGGAUGUUGAUGUCGACAACAAAACAAGACAAGGAAAAGCAGAAAUCGUGGAACUAGAUAGUCCAGUGGCAAAAAGACAAAGAGUUGGUGAAUAUAAAAAACAAAAUGUGGAGGGAGAGGAGACCCUUGAGGUGGAGACUGAAACUAAAACUAAACCUACUGUCGAGGAUAAGACUCAAUCGAUUGAUAGAUCGACAGAAGAGACUGGUGACGAGCCCGUGACUAGUGCUGCCGAGAAAUUGGCUGUUUUAGCUUCUGUUGAAGGCCCAAAAUCAACUCAGAAUGAAGAGGAAGACAAGGCAAAACGACUCCGGGAGCAGAAGGUACUCUCCGAGCUUUUAUUAUGAUGUUUUGAUUAAGCAGCAAGCACUACUGAGAGUAAUUGUAUUAUUGCAGGAGCUGCAGGAGUUAGAGCGUAAACAAUGGAGAGCUAAGAUGCAUGAGAAGUUCCAACUCAGAAACCCUCAGCUGCUAAAUCUUUGCGAGACUAUCUUUCCUAAAAGCAACAAUCAAAGUUCUGUCUGGAACGGACCUCACUCACUGUUUAAACGUCCAGAAGGCUCAAAUCGUACUAGUUCCUUGCACAAAGCAGUGGAAGCCUUGAUGAGAAGUAGUAGUUAAGGAUUCACAAUGUAACAUAAGUAUUUAGCUAUCGUUCUUCGCUUUGCCUGUUUAGAUAUGUUUGAUUGAUACAUCAAAUGUCAAACACCAUAAGAUUCUUUUCACUGAAAGCAGAAACAUCAAUUUGUUCAUGAAUUUUUAGACAAAAUGGAUUCGCUUUUACAUAAUGAUUUGACUGCCAUGAGACGAUAAGAAGGGAAUAAAACGUCAAUUAAGGCAUUGACUUAACUAUUCCACACAAUGUCAAAAAAUUGUCCAGUUGAUUAUUGGGUUAAGUUGUGUUUCCUUAAAAAAAACCUACAGAAUUACCAAAUGUGAUUAUGAUAUAUAUAGUAAUUAAUGAUUUCAAAUAAUGAAGAUUUGCUAAUAAUCUGUAUACUUUCUAUCAUUUUUGUUUAAUUUUUUAUUAUUAAAAUAAAUUACACAAUUACAUUGAUCAUAUAUUAAAAAUUUAUAUUUUUUUGUAUAUGUUGUAUUUUGAAUUUUUGAAAACGAGUACAAAUUACUAAAAUUGUUAAAAGUCUCACAUAAACUUGUGUGAUCAAUGUUUAAAUAUUUUCUAUAAUAAGAUACUAUGAUAAUAAAAUCAUAUAAAUAAAUAAUUUUAUUUUAGUAGGUGUUUAUGUUAAUAUAUAUAUACUUCAUAUCGUUUAAAUUUAAUUAUAUAUAAUAUACGAUAGAUAAGAUUGAUUGUUUUGAUCUAUUUAUCCUAAAAUGAUUGCGAAUAAACAAGCGUGGUCAUUUGAUUUAUAUGUGCAAGUCAAUUUAUUACAUGAUAGUAACUGAUGUCUUAGUUAUUUAAUAUAUAAUUAUUAUUUUACUAUUUCAUAAUAUGCAUAAAAAUAUAAAAUAAGUAAUAUAUAUAUAAAAUAUUUAUUCUUCACAAGACGUCGAUCUUAACCUAAGUAUGUAUCUCUUUAAUAAUUUUGAAUCUUAAACAUUUUUUAAAUCUGAGGCGAAAUAAAAUAAAAAAAUGAGAAUAAACUCAAAAAUCAAUAUUUAUAUCAAGCAAUAACCAAAAUAACACAAAAAGGAGAAAAAUAUCGAAGAUAAAUAGGAUUGACACGUGAACGUAAACUUCUCAUAAACAUAAUUAACUUUUAAAUUGUUAAAUCAUGAUAUAAAACCGAGCUGACAUAGUUUCACUGUAACCAAAUAGUAGGCAUGAGAUUCUUCGGCCUAAACGUUAGGUUUUUAUGCGAUAAAUAAUUUUUGACCUAAAAUAUUUUAAAAAAUAGGAUUAGUUCAUUAGUAGACAAAUUAUGUAAUUAACAAAAAAAAAAUUUUAAAUUUUUUUAAGGACCAAAAAUAUUAAUUCGAUCAAUAAUCUAAAUUUUAUUUUCAUACGAUAUUUUUAAAUAAUUUUCAUUUAAAUUUACUCUGCGCAAGACGCAUGUCUUAUCCUAGUACAAUACUACAACAUAUUUUGCCAAACCCUAGACCAAAGAAUAUCAUGACUCACUACUUUCACUCAUCUAUGUUGAAAAUAAUUCAAUUUUAUUAUAUUUUAAUUUAUAUCACUUAAAACUGUUUAUAAUUACAUGAUUUUAAUUUUUUGCUUAUCAAAAUAUUUUUUACAAAAUUUAUAAAUUAUUUUUAAGAUCCACUACACCAGACAACUUCCGUAACUUCCGUGGACGUCGUCCAGAAGACUCGGAAGACUUAGCAGGGAUAUAUUCGUAAAAAUGAGUUAUGUUUUUAUGUUUGGUCACAAGGGACUGUGUGUAAUUUCACAAGGUUUUUAGGUUACUUUUUGCAUUUGAUUCAAAUUUGGGUAUAUUUUUACAAUCAAAGUCAAAUUUUGAAUCAUAUUUGGCAAAUUCAUUUGAAAGGGCUGUAAUGUCAAAAAGUCCAUAGUUACCCAAAACAUUACUGGAAGGGUUGUAAUGUCAAAAAAUUCAUUAAAAUUUUGCAUAUUUGAGUUUUUGACGCUUGUUUUGUUUUGGAUUUGGCACAUAUGCAUUUUUUGCUUGGCCCAUAACAAACCCAUUAGCAAAAACGACGACGUAAGUGUUAAAUCUGCAGAGAAGGGUCUUAAAACUCUAAAAAAGCACCGAAUCGUCUGGGGUCUAAUAAGCGACGCUCGAAGAAUUACGAGUCGAAAGUCGAAAGCGCGGUCUCGUCGAGUUCUAUUAAAAGUUUGUUUGGUAAAAAUCUCUGUUUCCCUCCAACUUUUUGAAUCUCUCCCUCUUCCUCUUCCCCCGCAAGAUUCUCUGCUCUGCUGGUUUGCCCUAGAUCUAGUGUUUAGUGAGUGAUUCAAGAUUGUUUUGAUUCGAUUAGCCUAUAUAUGAUCGGAUCUCUUGAUUGCAAAUUGUUUGUCUUCUUUCGGAUAAUCUAAUCCAAUCAAGGUUUUUGCAGGAGUCUCUCGCUCGUAGCUGUGAUGAAGCGUAAGGGAGGACAUAAGAAAGGGAACAAGUCUAAAAAGUCCACCGAACCAGAGACUUUGAAUGAGUCUGUUCAAAACAGCGACUCUGAGCAAAGUUCGGGUGAGUGUGAGAAGAGUAAAACGGAGGUUGAUGCACCUGACAGUUCACCUAGUGUAGAUCCGGUUAAGUCUGUGGGGCGUGUUAAGGUUAAACUGAAGACCUCCUCCAAAGCACUUGAACCUGAUGUUCCCUUGACUACUCCUCAAAAAGAGGAUCCUGUUCCUCCUCGUUUGCCUGAGCGAAAACCAGUUCUCAACGUUUAUAGGAAGAUGAAAGGUAUUAAGAUCAAGUCCUGGAAGGCGGUUGAUGGGUCUAGCUCUGUUUCUGAGAAGCCCCUAGAUGCAGUUGAUAAGGAGACGAAGACGCCUGAUGAGACUUCUCAAGUCAAGAAGCUUGAACCUGAUAGUGCACCCGUUUCUUCUCAGAAGAAGACUGAUAACAAUAAGCAAGAACUGGAAGAUUCUCUUACGGUGUCGUGUCUACCUUGUUUGUUUGUUUCUUCUUCUUUUUAUGGUAAUGAACAAUUUUAACUAAACCUUAUUGGUCUUAGGUGGUCAAGAAGAUUAUGAAGAUGGAAGCUGCUGAUCCCUUUAAUGUUCCUGUCGACCCAGAAGCUCUUGGGAUUCCUGUAAGUGUGUGAUCCAUUAGCUUCAUCUUUAUUUUAUAUAUCCGAACAUAUCAACUUUGGCUUGUGAAAGCUCAUCCCCUUCAUAGGUAAAAUAGUUCUGUGUGUUUUCUUGUAAACAGACAAAAAUCAUUUUGAUCUCAACUUAAAAUUUCUUUACUACAUUUACUAGUCUUGUUAUUUAGCAUAGGGUAUGGGUUCAUCUUUAUGUGAAGGAAAUAAUACUUGUUUUAAAUCUUUUCUUUGCUUGUCAAGGGGUUUCAGAAUUGUUGUCUAACACGUUUAGCUGUUUUCGGGUUAUGUAAUUAGGACUAUUUCGAUAUCAUCAAGACACCUAUGGAUUUUGGAACAGUAUGCAGUAAUCUUGAAAAAGGCAACGUAUACAUGAAUUCUGAGGAUGUUUACAAGGAUGUCCAGUACAUCUGGAAUAACUGUUCCAAGUACAAUAAGAAAGGCGAUUAUAUCGUCGACCUGAUGAAGCGAGUCAAGAAAAAUUUCAUGAAGUACUGGGCUGCCGCCGGAUUGUAUACUGAGCAAUCUGCAGGUAUUGUUAAAAAAUUAAUCUUCUCUAGCAUUUUACUUUUUCUUCUCACGCAUUGUUAAAUUUGGUAGGUGUAGUUUUACGUUUCUGGUUCCCCUUAGGCAUAUAAAGUAGACAUUGUGAACACAUAAAACUUUUAACAAUACCUGCAGAUUGUUAACAAUGUACAGUACUGGCAUUGUUUCUGGUAGCUAUGCACUUUGGGCUGAGUAAUAUAGCUUACGGUUUAACUUAUAUGGUUUCUUCGAUUUACGAUCAGAGAAUGCUCAAGUAGAGGAUGGUGGAAAUGCAUCCUCCAAAGGUAGUCAAUCCAAGCAGAAGAGCCAGAAGCGCCAUGGGUAUAUGCCUUUGAAACUUCUUUUUUUUUUCCUUAAUGAUACGUGGGGACUCAUAAGCAUAGUUUGGUUUCAAUGUUUCAUCAGUCUUCCUAGGUUUUAUAGACAAGAGGUUAUCUUUUGCAAAGCUACUGUAACCUAGGUUUUGUCAAAUUGUAUUCUGUUUUCUGUAUAGAGCUUGUGUUGUCCUUUAUUACUGGGAUUGGGAUUUGUGAUGGGAUUCAGUUUCAUUUGAUAGUGUCAUUACUUUCGCUUUGCAGAAGGCAUCACAAGAGUGAUUGCAUGUGUGCGGUAUGUAUUUUGAAGAGACGUAAAAGAGAACGUCACAGUUCUCAAGGAAAUUCUGGAGCAGUAGAGGUUAGUAAUGUGUUUUGUUUAUCCAAAGAGAGCACACAGCCCGGGUGCUUGGCUUCCAUUGGCUGUAACUAAAUAUCAUUCUUUCUUGAAGGAAUCUUCACCUGUGAGAAGUCCGUCUGUGGAUAAUUCAUCUAUUAAUAUGCGUGAGGAGCAGGACAUGGAUGUUGAUGUCGACAACAAAACAAGACAAGGAAAAGCAGAAAUCGUGGAACUAGAUAGUCCAGUGGCAAAAAGACAAAGAGUUGGUGAAUAUAAAAAACAAAAUGUGGAGGGAGAGGAGACCCUUGAGGUGGAGACUGAAACUAAAACUAAACCUACUGUCGAGGAUAAGACUCAAUCGAUUGAUAGAUCGACAGAAGAGACUGGUGACGAGCCCGUGACUAGUGCUGCCGAGAAAUUGGCUGUUUUAGCUUCUGUUGAAGGCCCAAAAUCAACUCAGAAUGAAGAGGAAGACAAGGCAAAAC
rnacentral:lncRNA from 1 species